AAGCACAUGAAAAUAUUGUCAAUAUUACUAGUCACCAAAUAAUCACUAGGAUGGCUACCCUCAAAAGCAGGUAACAAAUGUUAAUGAGGGUGUAGAGAAAUUUGAACUCAAUGUACAAGGGCACUGCCACUUUGCAAGCUAGUAAGUCAGUUCCACAAAAGGUUAAACAAUUACUACAUGACACAGCAAGCAAUACAACUCCUAGGCAAAUAGAUUCACAAAGUAAUGAACACCCACACACACCUGUACACAAA